rnacentral:rRNA from 1 species
UGGUUGUCCCGGGGCAAGUGCGUAGGCCGAGAGAUAGGCAAAUCCGUCUCUCAUAUGGCUGAGACACGAUGCGGAUAAAAAGUGGGUGAUCCUAUGCUGCCGAGAAAAGCAUCGACGCGAGGUUCUAGCCGCCCGUACCCCAAACCGACUCAGGUGGUCAGGUAGAGAAUACCAAGGAGAUCGAGAGAAUCGUGGUUAAGGAACUCGGCAAAAUGCCCCCGUAACUUCGGGAGAAGGGGGGCCUUCGACGUAUUAGGACUUGCUCCGAAAGCGUUUGGAGGCCGCAGAGACUAGUGGGUAGCGACUGUUUACUAAAAACACAGGUCCGUGCCAAGUCGCAAGACGAUGUAUACGGACUGACGCCUGCCCGGUGCUGGAAGGUUAAGAGGACCGGUUAGCCGCAAGGCGAAGCUGAGAAUUUAAGCCCCAGUAAACGGCGGUGGUAACUAUAACCAUCCUAAGGUAGCGAAAUUCCUUGUCGGGUAAGUUCCGACCUGCACGAAUGGCGUAACGACUUCCCAACUGUCUCAACCGCGAACUCGGCGGAAUUGCAAUACGAGUAAAGAUGCUCGUUACGCGCAGCAGGACGGAGAGACCCCGUGACCUUUACUACAGCUUGGUAUUGGUGUUCGGUGUGGCUUGUGUAGGAUAGGUGGGAGACUUUGAAGCAUGGACGCUAGUUCGUGUGGAGUCAUUGUUGAAAUACCACUCUGGUCACUCUGGAUAUCUAACUUCGAACCGUAAUCCGGUUCAGGGACAGUGCCUAGUGGGUAGUUUAACUGGGGCGGUUGCCUCCCAAAAAGUAACGGAGGCGCCCAAAGGUUCCCUCAACCUGGUUGGCAAUCAGGUGGCGAGUGUAAGUGCACAAGGGAGCUUGACUGUGAGACUGACAGGUCGAGCAGGGACGAAAGUCGGGACUAGUGAUCCGGCAGUGGCUUGUGGAAGCGCUGUCGCUCAACGGAUAAAAGGUACCUCGGGGAUAACAGGCUGAUCUUGCCCAAGAGUCCAUAUCGACGGCAUGGUUUGGCACCUCGAUGUCGGCUCGUCGCAUCCUGGGGCUGGAGUAGGUCCCAAGGGUUGGGCUGUUCGCCCAUUAAAGCGGUACGCGAGCUGGGUUUAGAACGUCGUGAGACAGUUCUGUCCCUAUCCGCUGCGCGCGUAGGAAAUUUGAGAGGAUCUGACCCUAGUACGAGAGGACCGGGUUGGACGAACCUCUGGUGUGCCAGUUGUUCCGCCAGGAGCACCGCUGGUUAGCUACGUUCGGGAUGGAUAACCGCUGAAAGCAUCUAAGCGGGAAGCCGGCCUCAAGAUGAGAUUUCCAUGCCUUCGGGCGAGAGGCUCCCAGCCAGACUACUGGGUUGAUAGGCCGGAUGUGGAAGCGUGGCAACACGUGAAGCUGACCGGUACUAAUAAGCCGAUGACUUGA